GACGAACGCUGGCGGCGUGCUUAACACAUGCAAGUCGAGCGGCGCGGCGAACGGGUGAGUAACGCGUGAGUAACUGCCCCCCUCUCUGGGAUUACAGUUGGAAACGGCUGCUAAUACCGGAUAGUGGGGGAUGACUCGCGGCCUAUCCGCUUGUUGGUUGGGUAGUGGCCUACCAAGGGGACGACGGGUAGCCGGCCUGGGAGGGCGACCGGCCACAAGGGGCUGAGAUACGGCGCAGAAGGCUACGGGAGGCAGCAGGGGGGAAUAUGGCACAAUGGGGGAAACCCUGAGGCAGCAGCGCCGCGGUCGGGAUGACGGCCUUCGGGGUGUAAACCGCUUUCAGCCAUGACGCGGUAGUGGCAGAAGAAGCACCGGCUAACUACGUGCCAGCAGCCGCGGUAAUAC
rnacentral:rRNA from 1 species